CCUAUGGGUUGUACACUGCUUUUAUACGGGGAUAAAGUGAGCCACGUGUGGGUUAUUGCAGGUACCGUAUGAAUAAGGACCGGCUAAUUCCGUGCCAGCAGCCGCGGUAAUACGGAAGGUCCGGGCGUUAUCCGGAUUUAUUGGGUUUAAAGGGAGCGUAGGCCGUCUGUUAAGCGUGUUGUGAAAUGUCGGGGCUCAACCUGGGCAUUGCAGCGCGAACUGGCAGACUUGAGUGCACGGGAAGUAGGCGGAAUUCGUCGUGUAGCGGUGAAAUGCUUAGAUAUGACGAAGAACUCCGAUUGCGAAGGCAGCCUGCUGUAGUGCAACUGACGCUGAAGCUCGAAAGCGUGGGUAUCGAACAGGAUUAGAUACCCUGGUAGUCCACGCGGUAAACGAUGGAUGCUCGCUGUUUGCGUCUGACGUAAGCGGCCAAGCGAAAGCGUUAAGCAUCCCACCUGGGGAGUACGCCGGCAACGGUGAAACUC
rnacentral:rRNA from 1 species